UCUCCAGAAGCUCAGGAUCAUGUUCCACUGCAGCCUGGCUGGUAUCCCUGGGGAAUGGACAGCAGCAUAAGUGGAAAUGCUGACACUGCCUGGCAGCAGCCAUGCACCAUCGACAUGGACUCUCUGAAGAACAUCAUCAUGCAGACUUCUGCCCGUGGAGCAGAAGUCUUAGCAGCCACCCUUCUCCUGACACUUGCAUUUCUGGUGUUCUGUGCUGUGGCCUUUUGCUGCCUGAAGAAAACAAUAGGGAAAGCCUGUGCAGAUUCCAGAGAGCAAGUGGGAAAUGACAGCUCCUCCUCAAGCCUGGAGAACCAGAGGAGCUGCUCUGACACACCUCAAGUCUCCAUCUCAGAGCAGACCCCAGAGCAGCCAUUGGAGACAGGAGCAGUGGCACCUCCACCCAGCCCACAGCCCUCCAAUGCCUCCA